CCGUCGCUCCGCUCGAUUCGGGACCACACUCGCCCAACAAAAUCCCGCGAGCGAGAGGGGAAGGGCGCGAAAGAGAGAAGGGAAGGGCGGGAAGGGGAGAAGAGAAGGGCGCGAACCAGGGAGCGGAGGCGCGGCGCGCGAACCAGCGGAGAAGGCGGCGCACCUCGUCCUCAACCUGCCGUCGACAUCCGACUGCAGCUCUUGCUGCAAGGUACGAGUCUAGUUCUUCCCCUGCUUCUUCUUGUGGUCAUGGCCAGAUUUAUUUUGCUCAGUAAACUAGGCUAGGGUUCCAAGAACAGAUCCGUUCCAAGAAGAUUGAUUCCCCUGUGUGUGAUUUUGGUUCAAUCUAUUUGAGUUAGGCAACCAUGCUUGUGGAAAUCCUGAAAUCCCCAUCUUUUUUCUUCUUAGCCCUGAGAGAAACAUGUCAGAUCAGCCUUGGUACUCUGCUCUUUGCAAUUGUGAAGAGAAAAUUAUGCUAAUUAGCUAGGUGCAGAUGCAGAUGGCUAGGUGCAGAUGCUGAUUUGCUAGCCCUGGGAGAAACAUGUCAAAUCCUGAAAUCCCCAUCUUUGUUUUUAUUUGCUAAUGGCUAGGUGCAGAUGCUGAAUUCUUUUGCUAGAUGUACUAGUAGUUGGUAUAUUAUUAGACUAGCAUACUAUUAGUUGUUGUACUAGGUGCAGAUGUUGAAUUCUUUUGCUAGACUUACUAGCCUUAUUCAGGAAAUGUGACUGCCAUCAAGAUGUUUUGGUAUAGAGUUAAUUUGAACAGAGUUCUGACUGUUAUAACAUCUAUGUACGUUGGUCAAUUUGGUCCCUUGUGCUAGCUGCAUAUACUGAUAAAGAAAGAGUAGUGCUAGUCUGCUGAAGGUGCCAUAUCCGUGUUAUUUUUUUUCUUUUUUUGAGAAAUAGCUGGUAGGAUUAAGAGCUUAGAACACUUGGACACUUUGCUAUCUUUUUAUUGUUCUUUGGUAGUUCCGAGUAUGCUAUUUGCACAUGAAUAUUAUUCUUCCCAUCCAAAUUAUAGUUUCAUGUGUGUUGUGUGCAUAAUUCUUAUUACUUGAUUUUUAAAUUGUAGCUCAACUUGCAAUAUGUCACAAUUGAGUUCCGAUGAGUUCGAAGAUGAUACCAUUGACCCAACAGAAAUUUUCUCUCUAGAAGAUUACUUGGCACAACAGAAUACUCUCAACAACUUUGCUACACAAAUAGCCACAAACAUUCAUCAUACACUAGAAGGUCCAAGUACUAGGCGUCAGUCAGCCCCUAGGACAUAUAUUGACAGGAAGAGAGAAUUUUACAAUGAACUUCUCAUAGCAGAUUACUUCUGUGAUAAUCCUACCUAUCCUGAUUACUACUUCCGUAGAAGGUUCCGCAUGGGAAAACCCCUCUUGCAUUUUCCUAUUCCUGAUCUAAUUUUGUUCUCCCUGUAAGGUAUGAGGUUACUCCUUCCCUUGCCUCUUCUUGUUAGGAUUAAUAACUUAGAACACAUACCACUUGAUGUACUUUAGAAACAAAUGCUAGAAUCUGCAUGUGUUCGUUACGAAGUCCACAUAUAUGUUCCACUAAAAGUCUGCACUAUUGUUUUUGAAAUAUGCAUUGUACUCAGAAAUCUACACUGUACUGUACCCAGAAAUCUGCACUAUUGUUUUUAAAAUAUGCAUUGUACUCAUAAAUCUACACUGUACUGUACCCAAAAAUCUGCACUAUUGUUUUUGAAAUGCUAUUUUUUAAUUAGAAUGAUGGUUGUGCUAUAAAACUCACCUUCAGUUUUUAAAACUGUAGUUGCACUACAGCAGGAUACUUGUACUAUUGUCAGUUGCUCCAUGCAAAUUUAACAGGGAAUGCUCUAGCCAAACCAAAUGGCCAACUUAGAAAAAAUCUGUGUUUUCGACAUGCUUGUUAUUAUACUCUAACUUGUGGCUUGCUUCUCGUGUAGAUGUUCUACAUAUAUGUCAAAAAAAGCGGAUUUCAUGUGCCAGGAAGCGUAGAAGAUGUGAGAUUUUUUUUUUGGAAUGAGAAGAAUCAAAGGAUACAACAAAAAAUUCAGUCUGAAAUUUGAUUUGUGUGUUUACAAAUCUUUCCUUUAUGGGUAUUUGAAACCUUAAGAUUAUUCUGUUACUAUGGGAUUUUGUAGUGUCAUGGACAAGACAUACUGACACUGUUUGCAUAUCAAGAUUGUUGAUUUUUGUUUGGAAAUCAAGUUGUUUGAUAACUUUCAGUGUGUAUGCUUGUUGAUAUAGUGUGUAUGCUUGCUGAUAUUGUUAAUUCAAAUA
rnacentral:lncRNA from 1 species